CAAAUGUUAUGACAGUGGAAUUAAGAACUUCUGAGUCCAGAGUAUAUGAGGAAAUACCAUCUGUCUGGUACCAAGAAGAUUGUGAGUGGUUUGGAAUCAUUGUUGUCGAGCCAUUGAUGGCAGUUCAUUGCAGGUGUUCAGAAUAAAUCCUUCUCCAGCUCAGGCAGGAGCUCCCCCCCCCCAACCCCCAAAUAAACUAGCUGUCUUCUCUUUUUGCCACCUGUCAGGCUGGUUUUGGAGAAGACGCAGAAAGAACCACUAUCAGGAAGUGGCAAUCUGCCAUGAUCAGGCUCCUUCACAAAGAGCUCCUUCUCCCCCCGAGAAUGAAACAGAAGAUGAGAGUCGAUCUCCCUUGUUGCCUAAAUCAACAUCAGAGCACAAGGCAUCCUACGGAAUGCACAGGAGUCAGAGUGAUCCAGGAGCCUCAGUGUCACCAUUGUGCAGGCAAGAAAAGGAGUGCAAAGUGGAAAACGUGGGAUUGGAGCCAGCCAAGCGCAUCCAUGAACACCAACUGGCUGUCAGAGGACAUGAUGAAAAUUUCCUUAAUUUCACAAUAUAGGGAUAGACUCAACCAUCGUUUCAACUGGGAAACUGUGAGCAAGCCAAAUCCAGAAAACAUUAGAGAAUUCCUGGAGGCUUGGCACUUACUGUGGACAAAUUGGCCAUCAACAGGCACAUAGAGAUAAACAACAUCUACAUCCCACUGAAAAGAAACAGUCCAAACACCCAAAGGAAACAAAAAGUACCUUUUAACCAGCAAUCUAUAUGAGCAGAAAUGAACACCAAGAUUAACACUAGACCAGCAAUCAAGUAAACAGCAUCCCAAUCGAAUAAUUACCAAUACAGGCAAAGAAGCUAACAUUAAACAACAGCUUAAUCAAGGAACUCCAAGAAAAGCCCCACCAACAGUGACCGGGCAAGUCACUAGGAUCUAAAAAGAG
rnacentral:lncRNA from 1 species